GAUGAACGCUGGCGGCGUGCCUAAUACAUACAAGUCGAGCGAACAGAUGAGGAGCUUGCUCCUCUGACGUUAGCGGCGGACGGGUGAGUAACACGUGGAUAACCUACCUAUAAGACUGGGAUAACUUCGGGAAACCGGAGCUAAUACCGGAUAAUAUAUUGAACCGCAUGGUUCAAUAGUGAAAGACGGUUUUGCUGUCACUUAUAGAUGGAUCCGCGCCGCAUUAGCUAGUUGGUAAGGUAACGGCUUACCAAGGCAACGAUGCGUAGCCGACCUGAGAGGAUGAUCGGCCACACUGGAACUGAGACACGGUCCAGACUCCUACGGGAGGCAGCAGUAGGGAAUAUUCCGCAAUGGGCGAAAGCCUGACGGAGCAACGCCGCGUGAGUGAUGAAGGUCUUCGGAUCGUAAAACUCUGUUAUUAGGGAAGAACAAAUGUGUAAGUAACGAUGCACGUCUUGACGGUACCUAAUCAGAAAGCCACGGCUAACUACGUG
rnacentral:rRNA from 1 species